UUCCAGUUUUUUUUAAUAUUUAAAACCAUGCUGCAAAGAACAUUCUUUGGUAAGAUAUUACAAAGAGGGAAUCUAAGAAGGUAGAACUAAAUUGAGAAAUAUCAAAGCAGUAUAUAUUCC
rnacentral:lncRNA from 1 species